GCCCUCCUGGCCUAAUGGCUAAGGCGCGAGACUUCUAAUCUCGAGAUUGUCGGUUCGAGUCCGGCGGGGGGCU